GACGAACGCUGGCGGCGUGCCUAAUACAUGCAAGUCGAACGCUGAAGGAGGAGCUUGCUUCUCCGGAUGAGUUGCGAACGGGUGAGUAACGCGUAGGUAACCUGCCUGGUAGCGGGGGAUAACUAUUGGAAACGAUAGCUAAUACCGCAUAAGAGUAGAUGUCGCAUGACAUUUGCUUAAAAGGUGCAACUGCACCACUACCAGAUGGACCUGCGUUGUAUUAGCUAGUUGGUGAGGUAACGGCUCACCAAGGCAACGAUACAUAGCCGACCUGAGAGGGUGAUCGGCCACACUGGGACUGAGACACGGCCCAGACUCCUACGGGAGGCAGCAGUAGGGAAUCUUCGGCAAUGGACGGAAGUCUGAACGAGCAACGCCGCGUGAGUGAAGAAGGUUUUCGGAUCGUAAAGAUCUGUUGUAAGAGAAGAACGAGUGUGAGAGUGGAAAGUUCACACUGUGACGGUAUCUUACCAGAAAGGGACGGCUAACUACGUG
rnacentral:rRNA from 1 species